rnacentral:rRNA from 1 species
UUGCCUACGGGGGGCAGCAGUGAGGAAUAUUGGUCAAUGGCCGAGAGGCUGAACCAGCCAAGUCGCGUGAGGGAUGACGGCCCUACGGGUUGUAAACCUCUUUUGUCGGGGAGCAAGACCCGCCACGAGUGGCGGAGUGAGAGUACCCGAAGAAAAAGCAUCGGCUAACUCCGUGCCAGCAGCCGCGGUAAUACGGAGGAUGCGAGCGUUAUCCGGAUUUAUUGGGUGUAAAGGGUGCGUAGGCGGACAGUCAAGUCAGCGGUAAAAAUGCGGUGCUCAACGCCGUACAGCCGUUGAAACUGGCG